rnacentral:rRNA from 1 species
AGAGUUUGAUCCUGGCUCAGGACGAACGCUGGCGGCGUGCUUAAUACAUGCAAGUCGAGCGCGUGUAGCAAUACACGAGCGGCGGACGGGUGAGUAACGCGUGGGCAAUCUGCCCUCUAGCCUGGGAUAACAGUUCGAAAGGACUGCUAACACCGGAUAUUAUGAUUCUGAGGCAUCUUGGGAUUAUGAAAGUUUACACU